AAAUCUCUGGAGCACUUCCACGAAAAACGUGUAGCGGAUUUCCGUGCGGAAGUGCGUAGCUUCAGGAGUUGG
rnacentral:sRNA from 1 species